AGUUCAGAUAUGCUCCAUUAGCUUAUCCUCUAGUUUCUUCCAGUUCCUAUCCUAGAUCGUGACACGUGGAAAACAAAAAUCCAAUGGUUCAAAUUAAAAAUUGGAAAAAAGUUGUAACAACAUCAUGUCUUUCUUCUUCCUAUUCCUCCACAAUUUUCUGGUUGUUUCUUCUCUCAAAGUAAUCGGAUUUUGAAUUUUUGAUUAUGAAUUUGGAAGAUUUUUCACUCCUCCUUUCUUCCCCAUGGAUACAACAAUUAC
rnacentral:lncRNA from 1 species